UUUGGUUAAAAAGUACUCCUAUGCCACUUAAACUAAAAAUACGCAAAGAAGAAAGUAACAUGUGAAGCUCUGACGAGAGGGAGUUGCUCGGAUGGUAAGCACCCCUCACUUCCAACCCGAAGGUUGCAAGUUCGAGUCACCAAGGGAGCAAAUAGGGGUGAGAGCUCCUAGGGAGGGUAAAAAAACAUGUGAAGCUCUCAUUUCAGAUUUAAAAAAGUGCUUUGUAUCUCAAGCUCUCCAGAUGAAACCUGAUUUGCAGGAACAAAACUCAGCAUAGAAACUAGUCCAUUAAAGAGGGGGGCGGGGGGAUGAAAAUGCAUGAUGACAAGCAAUGGUGGGGUUGAGAUUUUCUAUAAGGGGAUUCAACAUAUAAAGAAGUACCGAAGACUAAGGGGUGUCAAUGACUCCCCUUGGACAAAGGCAAGAACCUUUCUAUCACAUCUGACCAUCUCCUCUUGCAAUGAUCCAAUCCCAAUUCAUCUUUUACCCCCACAAACUAAAUCUUUUGGUUAAAAAGUACUCCUAUGCCACUUAAACUAAAAAUACGCAAAGAAGAAAGUAACAUGUGAAGCUCUGACGAGAGGGAGUUGCUCGGAUGGUAAGCACCCCUCACUUCCAACCCGAAGGUUGCAAGUUCGAGUCACCAAGGGAGCAAAUAGGGGUGAGAGCUCCUAGGGAGGGUAAAAAAACAUGUGAAGCUCUCAUUUCAGAUUUAAAAAAGUGCUUUGUAUCUCAAGCUCUCCAGAU
rnacentral:lncRNA from 1 species